CCUACGGGGUGCAGCAGUGGGGAAUAUUGGACAAUGGGCGAAAGCCUGAUCCAGCCAUGCCGCGUGUGUGAAGAAGGCCUUCGGGUUGUAAAGCACUUUCAGUGGGGAAGAAAGCCUUGGGGCUAAUACCCUCGAGGAAGGACAUCACCCACAGAAGAAGCACCGGCUAACUCCGUGCCAGCAGCCGCGGUAAUACGGAGGGUGCGAGCGUUAAUCGGAAUUACUGGGCGUAAAGCGCGCGUAGGCGGUCUGAUAAGCCGGUUGUGAAAGCCCCGGGCUCAACCUGGGAACGGCAUCCGGAACUGUCAGGCUAGAGUGCAGGAGAGGAAGGUAGAAUUCCCGGUGUAGCGGUGAAAUGCGUAGAGAUCGGGAGGAAUACCAGUGGCGAAGGCGGCCUUCUGGACUGACACUGACGCUGAGGUGCGAAAGCGUGGGUAGCAAACAGGAUUAGAUCCCCUUGUAGUC
rnacentral:rRNA from 1 species